CCAAUAGCGUAUAUUAAAGUUGUUGCAGUUAAAAAGCUCGUAGUUGAAUUUCGGGGUUAAUAAGUUGGUCGUGCCAAUGGUAUGCACUGGCUUUAUUGAUUCCUACCUCUUGACGAACUGUGAUGCCAUUAAUUUGGUGUUGCAAGGAAUCAGGACUGUUACCUUGAAAAAAUUAGAGUGUUUAAAGCAGGCUUACGCUUGAAUACAUUAGCAUGGAAUAAUGAAAUAGGACGUUUGAACCUAUUUUGUUGGUUUCUAGGAUCGACGUAAUGAUUAAUAGGGAUAGUUGGGGGCAUUAGUAUUCAAUUGUCAGAGGUGAAAUUCUUGGAUUUAUUGAAGACUAACUACUGCGAAAGCAUUUGCCAAGGAUGUUUUCAUUAACCAAGAACGAAAGUUAGGGGAUCGAAGACGAUCAGAUACCGUCGUAGUCUUAACCAUAAACUAUGCCGACUAGGGAUCGGAUGAUGUUAAUUUUUUAAUGACUCAUUCGGCGCCUUACG
rnacentral:rRNA from 1 species